rnacentral:rRNA from 1 species
GAUGAACGCUAGCGAUAGGCUUAACACAUGCAAGUCGAGGGGCAGCACAAGGUAGCUUGCUAUCUGGGUGGCGACCGGCGCACGGGUGCGUAACGCGUAUGCAACUUGCCCUAUACAGGAGGAUAACCCGUCGAAAGACGGACUAAUACUGCGUAUGCUCACAACUUGGCAUCAAGUGGUGAGGAAAGAAAUUCGGUAUAGGAUAGGCAUGCGUCCCAUUAGCUUGUUGGUGAGGUAACGGCUCACCAAGGCAACGAUGGGUAGGGGAACUGAGAGGUUUAUCCCCCACACUGGUACUGAGACACGGACCAGACUCCUACGGGAGGCAGCAGUGAGGAAGAUUGGUCAAUGGGCGCGAGCCUGAACCAGCCAAGUCGCGUGAAGGAUGACUGUCUUAUGGAUUGUAAACUUCUUUUAUACGGGAAUAACAAGAGUCACGUGUGACUCCCUGAAUGUACCGUAUGAAUAAGCAUCGGCUAACUCCGUG